rnacentral:misc_RNA from 1 species
AAAAGUGAAAAGAGUAGGGAGAAAAAGGAUAAUAUAAAGUUGCGCCAUCAAAAUUGGCUUCAUUAAGAUCCUUAAUGAAGCACGCGGGAGCCAUUUAUUGACUCCUCAACUAUUAAGAUGGAACAUUAUUACUGCUUUAAUAGUAUUUCCAUUUUCAUUUA